rnacentral:lncRNA from 10 species
CUUCCAAGCUAGCACAAAGGAGAUCUGCUGUUUUUGCUAUCACCUUCUUGGAAUAUUCUGGGAACCAUACCACUGUGGAGUGAGAAGCCCAAGCCAUGUAGGAGGCCACAGGGAGCAGAACCAGGACGUGCCAGUCAACAGCCUCAAUAACCAGCACCAAAGCUAGUCAUGUGUGUCCCAAUUGGAGAGAAAAUGAGGAAAAGGAGGAACAGAUGGGACUAAAAGCAGAAGGCACCUGAUGAAAGAGAAAAAGCAAGGCUGGGGGAAGGGUGUUUAGAGAAGGACUGGGAGAACAAAAGCAAAGAAUCUGAAAUGAGAGCAUGCUUUCUUCCGUUCCCAUGAACUUCAGAAUGAGCCACAUCUUUACUCAAAGCCUCCUCUGCUAUUUAUAUGUGUGACCUUAGGUAAGUUAUUAUCCUCUUUACCAUACAGAAAAAUAAAACAAGUUCUUUGCUUUCAAACAGCUAAAUUAAAUCAGGCACAGGUAGGUAGGCAAGGUCCAACAGGAGGAGUUGGUGUUAAGUGAUUCAACUUUGUUCCCAGCACCAGGCUCAUAUUAUAAUUAUCACUAAGAGUAGAAUUUACCACUUCAGUAGAGGAAAGGCUCCCCAUGCUUUUCCAUAGCUUCCAAAGUUGGUUUGAUGAUUAUGGGGGAAGAGAAGGAAAUUGGGACAACACCUUCGAUACUAGACAGUAUUUAUCAGUCACUCAGAGCUGUCCACCGUGCUUACAGCUUGGUGGAUAUUAUUUCAUUCAAUCCCCCAGUAAUCCUUUAGAUUAUUAUUUCAAUUGUACACAUGAGAAAAUUGAACUUCAGAAAAAUUAAGGGACUUGCCCAAAUCCCACUAGAUUUAGCACCAGGCUCCAAGCUAAUAGCAAACUAGAGAGCUCUUAUGGGAACAACCAUAUUACUGCAGCUUUCCCAGUGUAGUUGUCAUGACCAACUCAGGGUUCUCCAGUCCAAACAAGGAGGUCGUGCUAAUCCAUUCAUACAUCUUAACUCCCGGAAAUCAUUUCCAUUCCCCAUGGAGCAAAAUUUUGGAAAGCAGAUUCAACAAAUUUUGCAAGGUACUGGGGGCAAUGUGGCUAUUAUACAGAAAUAAAAGACAACUUUCCUGUCCUCCAAGAACUUAUAGUUUGGCACGAAAGUGGUAAGUAAA